rnacentral:rRNA from 1 species
UACGAGAGGCCCAAACGUUAUUCGGAAUUACUGGCUUAAAGAGUUCGUAGGCGGCGCAGAAAGUAGGGUGUGAAAGCCCUCGGCUUAACCGAGGAAUUGCGCCCUAAACUACUGUGCUUGAGGAACCUAGAGGUGAGCAGAACAGAUGGUGGAGCGGUGAAAUGCGUUGAUAUCAUCUGGAAUACCGGAGGCGAAGGCGGCUCACUGGGGGUUUUCUGACGCUGAGGAACGAAAGCCAGGGUAGCGAACGGG